rnacentral:tRNA from 1 species
GGCUUUAUAGUGUAACAAACAUUUAGGAUUGCAAAUCCUUAGAUGCAACUAACAAAUUGCUAAAGCUU